AUUGAACGCUGGCGGCAGGCCUAACACAUGCAAGUCGAGCGAGCGGCGGACGGGUGAGUAAUGUAUGUGGAUCUGCCUGAUGUCGGGGGCUAACUACUGGAAACGGUAGCUAAUCCCGCAUACCAUCAUAUGACCCCAUAUGGUAUUAGCUUGUAGGUGAGGUAACGGCUCACCUAGGCGACGAUCCCUAGCUGGUCUGAGAGGAUGAUCAGCCACACUGGGACUGAGACACGGCCAAGAAUCCGACGGGAGGCAGCAGUGGGGAAUAUUGCACAAUGGGCGGAAGCCUGAUGCAGCCAUGGCGCGUGUAUGAAGAAGGCCUUCGGGUUGUAAAGUACUUUCAGUCGGGAGGCGUUACCGACAGAAGAAGCACCGGCUAACUCCGUGCCAGCAGCCGCGGUAAUAC
rnacentral:rRNA from 1 species